CGCGGGCGUGGGAGGGAGAGGGGCUGCGAGUGAGCGCGGAGAGGGGUGUGCGCAAGGUGGACCGGAUGUGAGUGCGCUGCUGCCAGGGCAAGCGGGAAGGUGUGUCCCGGAGCCAGGAAAUGAAAUUCUACAGGAGGGAGAAGAAUGGCGGGAUUCAGAGGUGAGGAGGCAGAAGAAGAUUCCAAGCUCUGGACCUCUGGGGGCCACUGGGAGAGUUGAAGGUUUGAUCGCGGAUAUGUUGGGUUUUGUGAAGGCGUUGGGGCGCGGGUGCGGGGAGUGUCCUUGGGUGGAGAAGUCACGAAUGUAGGAAUGGAACAAGUUCGGGUCUCCUGACUGGGUCGUGAAGUAGUAUUGUCUUUCCCAAGCUUUCCUGUUGAUGAGCGGCGUGGAGAGAAUGGGGCUUGCUGGAUUUUGUAUUUUCCGCAAGUACUCCCAGGUGAUUCUGGUCUGGUAAACACUGUUGGAGUGGAAGGCCUAUCUGCCCCGGACUCAGACCUUCUCUCUGCCCCCAUCUUUGUGCCCUGAGAUGUUCCAGCAUUCUCGAGCCUAAGUUUCUUCAUCUAUAAGGAGAUAAAAUAACCAGUCCUCGCAGGGCUGUUGUGAGGGCUACAAGAAGGAUAACUGCCUAGCGUGUUGAGACAUGGGUGGUCAGACACUUAAUGCCUGUUUCUCUUCUUUCCCCCAGGAAUUCAUGAACUUUUAAAAUACUUUAUUCUACAGAAGGAGAUCUUCUUAACUAAUUAGGUAUCCAGAGGAGAAAGUAAUGAAUCCAUUUUCACCUAGAUAUUUGCAGUUAUUUGAAUUCUGGCUUUUGUCUCAAGUAUUCACAUAUUUUUUUCUCUCUCUAGAAAAAGAAUCGGAUUUUACUGCUCCAGGAGUUGAGAAUGAACUUGGUUACUAAUCCCCAAAGUAAUAGAUAAACUAGGUGUGGAUGCUUCUUUACUAAAUUGUAUCAGAGAAUCACAAAUGAACAUGACUUGUGCAUGCAUAAACCUCAGCAGACUGAACUAACCAUCUUUAGAUUAUUUACACAUGUGCUCCUAAUUGAUAUGGUCACCUUUAUAUUAUAGGACAGCAUAUUUGCUUAUUAUUCACAGGUACAUGUAAAGGAGAAACGAGAGUGGCAGGAAUAGUUGGCCUCAUUCCUCUCCAACAGAGAAAUAAUUGCUCUUUGCUGCAGUUGUCAGCUGUCCUGCUGGAAUUUUGGAAACAGCAGGGCUGCAGAAGGAGGGCUUGAACUGUAAGUGUGAUGGAGGGCAUGCUUCCACUACACCCCUGGUUUGCAGCAUCUACAGUGCCUUAUCUUAGAAUGCAGAGUUAUUUUUCACAUGAUAGAGAAGGGGUUGGGGACCUUUGAAGACAAUAGGGGACAGCCUCCAAGUGCAAAGUCAGAAAUUCAGAGGCCUUGCUCCUGCCAGGCAAAACUUAUUUUCUACCUGUUUUCUCUCGAGUUCCCCUACUUAUCCCUCCCCCAGAGAGCUGAAACAGAGACCAUCUUGAUUGAUCUAGACUUGGUUUACACCUGAUAAGCCAAGAUUUUAUGAAUGUUUAACAGAGGUCAGAAAUUUGGAGAAAAUCUUAUAGUAGGCAUAUUACCUUUUAAAGCAUGAAUUAACUAAUGUUUUCCUCAAGAGUUUCAAAGGCAGUACAGAUCCUCAUUGUUUCCCAGCGAUUCUUUUGGGCAAGACAGUGAUAAGGUGGCUGGGACAAGCUUUCUUAAUCCUUCUUUUCAGGUAAGAAAACUGAAGCUCAGGAAAGUAUAAUUUUUUCUUAAUCACAUGGAGGGCCUGAAACACACCUGGAAAAAACAUUUUAGUCUAACAACAAAGAGUUCAUAAGUGUUAAGUCUUUUUCUUUUCUUUUUUUUUUUUUUUUUUUAAAAAAAGUCUUACUGUCACCCAGGCUGGAGUGUGGUGGGGUGAUCAUGGCUCACUGCAAUCUCAAACUUCCAGACUCAAGCAGUCCUCCCACCUCAGUCUCCCGAGUAGCUGGGACUACAGAUGCAUGCCACCAUGCCCAGCUAAAAUUUUUUUUAAGAGAUGGGAUCUCACUGUGUUGCCCAGGCUGGUCUCAAACUCUUGAGCUCAAGCGAUCCUUUUGAACCUACAAAGCUAUAGCGGAAUGUUUUUUUGCUCAACUGAUAAUGUAGUCAGUAUAACCAGUGUCUCUAGAUAAUGUGAGAAGUUGAAAGAGAAAGUGAAGCCUAUUUGCUGGAAGGCUGAGGCAAAGCCAACAUUUGGAGGUAAUUCUUAGAAGGUCCUGCACCUGCCUGUGCAUCAGGAAUGAUUUGGUAGUAGGGUAAUGUCCCUUAGACCAGUAGUCCCCAACCAUUUUGGCACCAGGGACCGGUUUCAUGGAAGACUAUUUUUCCACAGACAGGUUGGGGGGUGGUUUCAGGAUGAAACUUCUUCACCUCAAAUCAUCAGGCAUUAGUUAGAUUCUCAUAGGGAGCAUGCAACCUAUCCUCACAUGCGCAGUUCAAAAUAAGGUUCAAGUUCCGAUGAGAAUCUGAUGCCACCGCUGAUCUGACAGGAGGUGGAGCUCAGGCAGUAAUGCUUGCCUGCUCCUCACCUCCUGCUGUGUAGCCGGGUUCCUAACAGGCCACAGUACCAGUCCAUGGCACCAAGGUUGGGGACCCCUGCCUUAGACACCUUUUCUUGAGUUAGCAUAAGAUAAUUGCCUUAUGCCAGUUACUUCAUCUAUUUGAGCUUCAGAUUCCUCAUUUGUAAACUAGCCCAAUUGUUUCCUCACUAUAAACUCUAGCCUACCUCCCCCUGCAGUUUCAUAUUAUGCAAAUGCUAGGUCAUUUCAGAAUUCCGUCUUUUUGCACAUUUGUUCUCUUUCCCUGGAAUGCAUUUCUUCCCCUGGUAAACUCCUGUCUUCCCCUGACUUGGCCCCAUGAUACACACAGCACUUCAUACAGAUAAAAAAUAUUUUGUCUAGUGAUAGUUGUACAACUGUGAAUAUAUUAAAAACCAUUGAAGUGUAUUUUAAGUGAGUAAAUUUUACGGUAUGUGAGUUAUAUCUGAAUUUUUAAACAUGGAGGAUGGAGGGAAGCCUUCCCUACUACAUGGUGGGUUUCUGGAGGAAUAAGAUCUUCUCAUUUUCCUGUUAGAAUUUCCUUUGGCCCGUAUGAAACCUGGUCCAUAAUAAAGGCUCGGGUAAUAUUGUUGAAUAAACAAUGACCAUCUGAGGUUUGCUCUAAGGGAUUAAACGAAGAUGUAUGUGAUGGUAUUUAUCUUGCACAAUCCCCUUGUUGAAUUCAUUUAUUCAUGGCACUGUGUAGUGCUAAGCACUGAGGAUACAGAAUAAAUAAACAUCAUCCUGAUCUCAAGGAAUUUAUGGUCAGUGGAGGAGGCAGAUAUAUAAACAGACCAUAGCAUGGCAUUAGAGGUGCCACAGUAGACUUUGUGAGCAUACAAGAUAGAGCAUCCCAUUCAGCCCAGUGUUGGGGAAGGGAACAUCAGGAAAGAAUUGAUUUUGGUUUUGAAGGAUAAUUAGGGAUUUACUAGAAUACAAGACGUAAGAGAGGAAAUACAUCCUAGGCAGAAAGAAUAGCAUAUGCAAAGGCACAGACACACAAAGUAUCUGUUCCACAUUUGAAAUCCAAUCCAAAUGUUAACUCAGAAAUGUUUGAGAACAAGACAGAAGAAAUAAUGCAAAACAAAAAAGAUUCUCAGAAUCAAAGACAUGGAUCUCCAGAUCAAAGAGUUUGCAGAAGGCCCAGCAAAAUGAAUGAUAGAAGAUCUAAAAAUCACAUCAUCAUGAAAUUCUGAACUCAAAUUAUAAAAGCAUCUGGACAAAAUAGGUCGCAUACAAAGGAGUUGGAACAGGAAUGAGAAUGUAUUUUCCUAAAACAGGAAACUAGGGAGUCAAUAGAGCAAUGCCUUUAAAACUGAGUGGAAAUUAUCUUCAAUCUAGAAUUCUAAACCUAGUGAGACCAUCAGUUUAAAAAGAUAUGCAAGAAUUCAGACAUGCCCGUUUUGGGGAAGCUACUGGGAGAUAAGUGCCAGCAAAACCAUGGAAGAAGAUUACAUGGGAUUUGGGAAAUAAGGAAUCCAACAUGGUAGACUCUGAAUUUAAAAAUCCAGAAUGCCUGCAAUGCAGCCAUCCCACGAGCAACCAGCACAGAUUGGAACAAGAGGAUAGAUGGCUCAGAAUGAGGUCUUCAAGGAACAACAACAAAAUGGAACUCAUUUCUGUGAGUGCAUAAUGAUUAUUUCUGAUAGGAUAGCAGACAUGUUGGAGCAUUUGGAAAAAAUUAAUCACAAGUAUAUGGAAAGCCAGACAAGUGGGAAAACAAGGAAAUCAUUAACUGAAGGAAAAAUACGUGGUCAUACAAGAAAGGAGCAAUGGUCAUAGGCUCAACAGUGAAAAUGUUUGUACAGUCAUAGUGUAAACACUGAUGUAUUAUCCAAGCUGCAUAAAGAGAUCUUAUAAAUCAAUUAGAAAAAGACAACCAUUGGAAAAACGAGCAAAGUGUAUGAAUGGGCUAAUUCACAGAAGAUGAAACUCAAGCUCAACUCAUGAGUAAUUGGGGAAAUUAAAACUAUUCACUGGCUGGGCAUGGUGGCUCAUGCCUGUAAUUCCAGCACUUUGGGAGCCUGAAGCAGGAGGGACUGCUCGAGGCCAGGAGUUCAAGACCAACCUGGUCAAUGAAGUAAGACCCAGUCUCUACAAAAAAAAAAAAAAUUAAAAAUUAGCAGAGUGUGGUAGUACAUACCUGUAGUCCUAGCCAUUCAGGAGGCUGAGGCAAGAGGAUUCCUUGAGUCCAAAAGGUUCAGGCUACAGUGAGCUAUGAUCAUGCCACUGCACUCCAGUUUAGGUGACAGAGCGAUACCCUGUCAUUUAUACAUACAUAUGUACAUAAAAUCAAAUUGACAAAAAUCUUAAAAUUCUGAUGGUUCAAGGGUCUUAGUGAGGGUAUGGAGCAUCAGAAACAGUCAUCCACUGCUGGCAAGAGUAUACACAGGUACAAUUACUCUGAAGAGUAAUUUGUCAGUAUCUAGCAAAGCUGAAGAUACAGGCCCUGAGUACGGCCUGGCAGUCUUUCUCCAAGAUGGUUAUUUCUUAUCUCACUUUCAGCUUCUAAUUGAUCAUCUCCACCCAGGGUCUCAGCUGAUAACCCUGCUUUCUAUUUCACUGAGAGACUAGAAGCAAGCAGAAAAGCACUUCAAAUAUUUGCCCACAUACUUGCAUCUGUGCCCAUAGACUCCAUAUUUCUUAAAUUAUAAUGGAUGACUAUGCAUGAUUUAGAAGAGAGGUAAAAACUGAUGACUCCAGAGAAAAUAAACAUCCACACCCUUUGUGGAAGAAACAUAUAUGACCAUUCAUUGUAGCACUGUGAUGGUGAAAAAUUUAAAUGUCCAUCAACAAUAAAACUGGUACAUUGUGGCAUAGCUAUAAAUUGACUACUAUAUAUUGAGUCAAAGGGGACACAUGUUUAUUCAUUUUCUCUGGAAUCAUUACUGUUUCCUCACUUCUGGAUGAAAUAAAAUAGGCAACGUGUCAACAUUAACCACCUAAACAAAAACAAACAUAUGCUAAGUGAAAAGUUAUAGAAGGAUGUUGGUUAUACGAAGUUUUCUUUCUUUCUUCCCUGCCCCCCAGACCCACCGGAGACAGGGUCUUGCUUUGUCACCCAGGCUGCAGGACAAUGGCAUGAUCUCAGCUCACUGCCACCCCUGCCUUCCAGGCUGAAAGAUUCCUCCCACCUCAGCCUACUGAGUAACUGGGACUACAGGUGUUCACCACCACAAUGGCUAAUUUUUUGUACUUUUGCAAGAGAUGGGAGUUUCGCCAUGUUCCCUAUGAUUGGUCUCGAAUGCCUGAGCCCAAGCUGUCCAUCCUCGUUGGCCUCCCGAAGUGCUGGGAUUAUAGGUGUGAGCCACUACAGCUGAUCUCUACAAAGUUUGAAAACAUGCAAAGCAAUUCUGUUGUUGAUAUGGACACAUUUGUGUGGCAUAAUUGUACAAAAACAUGCAUGGGAACAGCAAACUCUAAAUUGGGGAUAAUGAUUACCUUUAAGGAGGGAGAAAAGGGAAUAGGGGGAGGUGGAAGGGCACAGAUAGAAUUUCUGUUUUUUUAAUUUAAUUUUUUUUUUUACACGGAGUUUCACUCUUGUUGCCCAGGCUGGAGUGCAAUGGCGCAAUCUUGGCUCACCACAACCUCUGCCUCCUGGAUUCAAGUGAUUCUCCUGCCUCAGCCUCCCGAGUAACUGGGAUUGCAGGCAUGCACUACCAUGCCCGGCUAAU
rnacentral:lncRNA from 1 species